rnacentral:rRNA from 1 species
ARGGGGAAWUKGCCCCCMGUAACGGCGAGUGAAGCGGCAAGAGCUCAAAUUUGAAAUCUGGCCCCUCCGGGGUCCGAGUUKUWAUUUGCAGAGGAUGCUUCGGGCGCGGUCCCCGUCUAAGUACCCUGGAACGGGUCGUCAUAGAGGGUGAGAAUCCCGUCUGGGACGGGUGGCCGUGUCCGUGUGAAGCUCCUUCGACGAGUCGAGUUGUUUGGGAAUGCAGCUCUAAAUGGGUGGUAAAUUUCAUCUAAAGCUAAAUAUUGGCCGGAGACCGAUAGCGCACAAGUAGAGUGAUCGAAAGAUGAAAAGCACUUUGAAAAGAGAGUUAAACAGCACGUGAAAUUGUUGAAAGGGAAGCGCUUGCGACCAGACUCGCCCGCGGGGGUUCAGCCGGUACUCGUACCGGUGUACUCCCCCGGGGGCGGGCCAGCGUCGGUUUGGGCGGUCGGUCAAAGGCCUCCGGAAUGUGUCGCCCCCCGGGGCGUCUUAUAGCCGGAGGUGCAAUGCGGCCAGCCUGGACCGAGGAACGCGCUUCGGCUCGGACGCUGGCGUAAUGGUCGUAAGCGGCCCGUCUUGAAACACGGAC